rnacentral:ncRNA from 1 species
GUGGCCGGUGGGCCACGUCGCUCCCCAAGAACCUGGUAGAGGACUCCCACCCAACCAACUGGCCACCCCAUCGGGUGACUUGGGCACGGCGGUGGGGAUGGUCCGGAUACGCUCGCGCAGACAACCCCAUACAUGGCUACGGCCCCCAGCCGGGAAGGCAAUCCCGAGCGAGGGCCUGACCACCCGGGAAGAAUCGAGCUUCCCG